UGAGGAAUAUUGGUCAAUGGCCGAGAGGCUGAACCAGCCAAGUCGCGUGAGGGAUGAAGGUUCUAUGGAUCGUAAACCUCUUUUAUAAGGGAAUAAAGUGACCCACGUGUGGGUUUUUGUAUGUACCUUAUGAAUAAGGAUCGGCUAACUCCGUGCCAGCAGCCGCGGUAAUACGGAGGAUCCGAGCGUUAUCCGGAUUUAUUGGGUUUAAAGGGUGCGUAGGCGGCCCCUUAAGUCAGCGGUGAAAGUCUGUGGCUCAACCAUAGAAUUGCCGUUGAAACUGGGGGGCUUGAGUAUGUUUGAGGCAGGCGGAAUGCGUGGUGUAGCGGUGAAAUGCUUAGAUAUCACGCAGAACCCCGAUUGCGAAGGCAGCCUGCCAAGCCAUGACUGACGCUGAUGCACGAAAGCGUGGGGAUCAAACAGGAUUAGAUACC
rnacentral:rRNA from 1 species